rnacentral:rRNA from 1 species
GAUGAACGCUGGCGGCGUGCCUAAUACAUGCAAGUCGAGCGAACAGACGAGGAGCUUGCUCCUCUGACGUUAGCGGCGGACGGGUGAGUAACACGUGGAUAACCUACCUAUAAGACUGGGAUAACUUCGGGAAACCGGAGCUAAUACCGGAUAAUAUAUUGAACCGCAUGGUUCAAUAGUGAAAGACGGUUUUGCUGUCACUUAUAGAUGGAUCCGCGCCGCAUUAGCUAGUUGGUAAGGUAACGGCUUACCAAGGCAACGAUGCGUAGCCGACCUGAGAGGGUGAUCGGCCACACUGGAACUAAGACACGGUCCACACUCCUACGGGAGGCAGCAGUAGGAAAUCUUCCGCAAUGGGCGAAAGCUUGACGGAGCAACGCCGCGUGAGUGAUGAAGGUCUGCGGAUCGUAAAACGCUGUUAUUAGGGAAGAACAAAUGUGUAAGUAACGAUGCACGUCUUGACGGUACCUAAUCAGAAAGCAACGGCUAACUACGU